GUGCUGGCUUCAGCAGCAAAUAUACUGAAACUGGAAGGAUACAGAGAAGAUUAGUGUGGCCCCUGUGCAAAGAUAACACACAAAUUUGUGAAGUGGUCCAUAUUUUU
ensembl:snRNA U6 U6 spliceosomal RNA